rnacentral:lncRNA from 1 species
GGUUUCUGCCGUGUGUCUAAAGUUUAUGAUUUUUCUACCAUGCAGUGUCACUUAAUUUGAAGUACUGAAAAGGAUUUCUCUCUCAUUGGUUCCUGUUGGUGGACCUUGUGGGAUGCUGCUCAGAUCUCUCCCACCCCCCUUAAACAUGGAGGCAUACAAAAUGAAGUUAGACAGUGAAAGACAAACAUCCCAUGAUAUCACUUAUAUGUGGAAUCUAAAAAGAAGAUAGAAAUGAGCUUAUUUGCAGAGUAGAAACAGACUCACAGACUUAGAAAAACUUAUGGUUACCAAAAAGGACAGGUGACGGGGAGGAGGGAUGAACUGAGAGUUUGGAAUUGGCAUAUGCAGACUGAGGUCUCUGGAAUCACGGGCCAACACGGACCUGCUGUAUAGCACAGAGCACUCCACCCAAUAUUCCAUGAUAAAUCUGUGUGGGGAAAGAAGCUGAAAGUGUAUGGAUGGGUGUAUGUGUAUAACUGAACCAUCUCGUUGUACAGCAGAAAUUACCACAACCUUGUAAAUCAACUGUACUUUAAUAAAACUUUGAAAAAAAUGAAAACAGAGAAGAAUGGAGGCACUUACUGAGACAUUAUCCCACCUUCAUUAUUGUGGGCUGCCAUGAGUAUUGGGUGCUAAAAUCUCACAUCUGUCUUUCUCCAGGAAUAGCCUUAAAUUGAAGUGCAGCGUAUCAACUAAGAUUAUAUCUGCCCCCCUCCAGAAGCUUGCAUUCAAUAAUAGUUGACAAAGGAAAUACAAAGGUCUGAUAUCCUUGCCUUAAUUGAAGAUAACUUGGAAGGACUAUCCGGGCUUAAGACUUCCCAUUGGCAUAUGCUGAGGGCUCUGUUAAAAUGACUUCUGAGUUCAACUUCUCCCCCUGCCCAAACCUACUUCUGCAACUCUCACCCAAGUGCAUUUUCCUAAACCCUCGCCAAUAAACCUCUUGUAUACAAAUAUAUCUGCCUAAAAAUCUGUUUCCAGGGCAAUGUAAUUUAGGAUGAUUGGUAUUUGAAAUGGUCCUAGGAAUCAGACUUUAAAAUGGGAAUUUGGAUUUCGUCACCCUCCAGGCACUUGGUAGCACAGUGAUAGAUGGAGUACUUACAGCCCCUGGCAUUGUGAAAAUUUUCUGGUGAUAAACUGGGAUGGAAUCCUAGGAAAGGUAUACACUGACUGAUACAAUAGCUGUGGCCUUUGGAAGGUUUGCAGGAGUAGCAAUAAUAAGGGCUUUUCAAUUGAAUGGCUCCUGCUGGGUGCUAUUGAUGGAUUCGAAAAGAUAAUGAAAGACUAGAGAUGUUUAAUCACCAAUUAAAGGCAAAUUGUCAAAGCCAGAGAGCCUCCUUGGCAGCAUAUAAAAAGAUUCUCAUCUGCUGCACCUGGAGGACAGAAAAAGUUAAAGAUCAGGUCCAGGACUCAAUUAAAUGGGUCAGAGAAAAAAAAAUACUAAAUUCUCAUACACAACAAGUCUGCUAAGCCAAAGUCAGGACCUUGCGUUGGGAGAAGUGAGAUGCUAAGAUUUAGAAUAAGAACAUCUGAGUUGAUCUGCUUGAAAACCAUGCACCUUCACAUUGCACUGAUACCUCUGGGUCUGCAGAAGUGACCCAACCCUUUCUGUUAAAGAUGGUGCUCUCUCAUUACAUGAGGAUGAGGGAGAAAUCUUUGCCUUGCAGAACAUCAGGCACUCACUUCAGGAUUUACCUCUACCCCCACUUCUGACUACCAAACCAACAACUAAGAUGAAAUUACAGUGUAAUCUGACUAGGGAGGUGCUGUUUCUACAGGAAGAGAGUGAUUACACACCUAAAGAGCCUAAAUGUCUAACUAACAUAAACCAGCAGACUAUGUGGAUUCUGAGGAUAUUAUGCCCUGUGGAGGGUGAAACAUUAGUUAAAGGAAAGCUUAUCUACAAAUAUUUAUGGAUAUAGGAACAUCGCCCCAUGAUACAAAACUUAACACCUUGGGUUGGUAAGGAUCCUGGGAGAGAUAGUCGUAGGUCCAGGAAGUUCCGCACGCUCUUAGAAAGUUGGAGAAAAGACAAUUGAAGUAGGGAUGCCAGUAAUACCACAAAAGAUGGUUGAAAAACUGAUCAAAUGGCACAGAGCCAUGGGCAUGUUAGCAUGUCUAGAGUAUAUAAAGCCAGGAGCCUGUGAAGGAGGGACUGGAGGACAACCCAUUUACCAAAGCUAUGAAGAAUAUCUCAGUUAAAGAGGAACCAGCAUUACUGAGAAUCAGAGUAAUGAUGGGGAAUUCUAUUCACCAAUCUCGGCUUUCUGGUAGUAUAGGGGGCAAUUAUCUCAUGUACAUCCAUGGUUACUGAGGGGGUAGGGAGUAGUAUCUUACGACCAGCUCACCAAGGAGGAAAAAGGACACAUUUUCCCACUGAUAUCUUGGUAUGCAAGUAUAAGCCAAAAGUAGACUAUUGGUGUACUAUAGCUCCAGCCAGAGGUGGCCAUGAAAGAUAGCAAUGAGUGUCCUUAUAAGAAGAGCUGCUGGUGACAUACUUGGUGAUUCACUUUGUGAAGGCCUAUUGCCUCAUGAUAGGAAUAUGUAUGGAAUCUUUGAGCAAUGUAAAGUGGCUAUAUUAGUUGUCCAGAUGCCUGGAAGAAGAGUUGGAAGAUAGAAACAAAGUGUUCCUAGUAGAUCCCAGGAAAAAUACCAACAAGAGUAGUUGGAGGAACUGGAGGAACUAUUCUCAUAUGGGGUGAACUCAGGAUAUAAAGAAAGUAUUCAAACAGGCAAACAAGUGGACUGUAGUGUACGCUGAGCUCCAACCACCCAGCUCUCCCUUAAGGACUAUGAUGCUGUUUUCCCCAAUCUUCCUGAAUUGUUGGUGGCUGAUGGCUAGUAGUUGGGAAUUUCUGUUUGCUGCAGGGUGAUGCUUUGCCCAAAUAUAGGACCAGCCGAAGCCUCUGUUGCGAUGUGCUUCCAGGACGGGGAAAGGGCCAUAGCCAAGGGACACAAGGAUAGAGAUGAGUAAACAGAUUCUCCCCUGAAAUUCCAGAAAGAAAACAGCCCUCCUCAAAUUUGAUUUUAGACUUCUGACCUCCAGAUAUUGAAUACAUUUGUGCUAUACUAAGCAACUAAAUUCAUAGCAAUUUAUUAGUAUAGCAAUAGGGAAUGAAUACAACACAGUAACACUUUAGCCUUUGUUUGCAAUUCAUUCACCAUGUCUAUAUUGGUUAAUUAUAAUUAUAGCAAUUGUAUUUUCAAAUUAGAGAGAACACAUGAAAAUAUAAAUUAAGUGUAUUUUUCACGAGUGUAUGAGAUUCUUAAAAAUCAAACCGCAGAAUAUAUAGGACAUUUUUCCAUUACUUAUUACAUUCUAUGAUACUUCUUUUUCAAAUGACUUUUAAGUGUUUCGCAUUAUGUCGUAGGCUUAAUUUUGUGAAAUUUAUUGUAUCUUCUAAUUAGGAUGAUUUGGAAGAACUGAGGUGAGAACACUCAAAACAGUUUUACAUUAGGAAAAUUUUUGCCUAAGGGAAAGACAGACUUUUCAUUCCAAUCCAGAGUCAUUUCUGUGGCCUCACCAUUGUGAGAUAGUCUCAUUUCUAUACAGAAAAAUAGCAUUGAUUAAAAAAUAAUUGCACCUGGAACUUUGGAGUAUUUACUCUGGCCCCCAAAUCAUAUUAAUUUGCAUGUAUUACUUAAUCUAAACCUGGAAUAGCGGGGAUGAAUUUCUGGGAUUGAUUUAAGAAUACAUGAAUAUGGGAAUUCCAGGUGUGGCUCAGUGAAUUAAGGACCUGAUGUCUCUGUGAGGAUGAGGGUUUGAUGGCUGGCCUCGCUCAGUAAGUUUAGGAUCUGGUGUGGCCAUAUGCUGCAGGUGAGGCUGUAAAAGGAAAAAAAAAAAAAGAAUAAAUGAAUAUAUAUCAAGCAUAAUGUUUGACACCCAAGGUGUGUUUAGUAGACAUGCUUCUUUGGAUUUCUUCUUUUUUUUUUUCUCCAUUGCUGCGAUUUGUUGAGAUUUAUUUUGGCUUUUAAAACAUCACUGAUAAAUACAUGAUGCUCUUAAAUUUAUGUAUGUCUUUGAUUAUCCUCACUGCUCCAUUUCAUUUUAAAAAGUAAUAUUAUUUAUAUCUUCUAGGAUUUGAAACCCAUUUUACAUUGAAACAAUAUCCAGUCUCUCUAGACACUAUAUAUUCAUAAUUCAAUAAUACUUUUAUAAUUCAGAUAAAAUCCAUCUAUGUCAAGAAUUAGCAAAUCUCUACUCCUACCUCCACCUUGCUCGGGAAAACUCUCUAGGUUGUAGUCCUAUCCAUUUGUAUAUUUAAUUUUCAUGUUGAAUUCAGACAUCUAUUACACAUGCAAUGUACAUGUGACAUUUGGGGUCCUAUUAAUUUCAAUUGAAAUGGAGGAAACAUUUCCUAUCCUUAAGCCAGGACUGACUAUGCCUAGAUCAGAUGAUAACUGUGUUAUCCCUUCAACAAAUAUCUCUGGUUUUUUGUGUCUUCAAAGAUCUCUCAAUAUAAGUAUGGAGAAAAAGGCAUAUUUUGGCCCUGGGGCCAUGAGUAAAGAUAAAAGGAGGGAGAAAACAAGAUUGAUAAGCAAAGAAAAGUUACAAAGGAAAGCCAACACGAUCCACUGAAUAGCGUGCUUGAGCUUCAACUGAAGGAUAGGAGACUUACAAUUUUUUUUUCUUCCGAUCCUAUUUACUCACAUAGGAUGCUGCUGCUGCUGCCAGCUGGAAGCAGAGGUACUGAUAACCAUGGUGAUCAUAGGAACAUCAUGUGCCCUUUAUCAUGCAUCCACACUCUUUGUACUAUACUUUCUGUUCAGUGCUUCACACCAAUGAUGGCAUUUAAUUUUAUAGAGUAGGUGCUGUAUUGUGAUACCAGUUUUACAGAUUAAAGAAACUGAAGGAGUUGGAGAGACAUCAAAUAACUUGUGGAAGUCACAUAGCUAGUAAUACGUGGAACCAAGUUGCAAACCCAUUACUUAGACUUGGGGGUCGUUCCAUUAUAUCAAAAUGUCCGCUAAACCUUUUGUUUUAGUCAUCUAGAAUGCACUGCAGUCCUAAUCUUCCUGUAUUUUUAAUUAAAAGCUCUUUGUAAUAGUAACAUUAAAAACUUUUUGAGUAAAAGUGUAAAGCUCUUCCUCUCAUCCUCUGAAGGGUAUUUAUUUAUCUUUUCUUUGCUUGCAUAUGUAUUUUAUCACAGCCAUAGUCCCAGUGGAGAUGGAGGUUUGUGCAUGUCUUCCCUGCAAUCAUGAUUCCCUUCCUCUGUGACCAUCUUCUCUGUGGGAUACCAGGCCUUCCCUAGCUCGUGCUACUGUAAACUGAUGCAUCUGGCUUAGGCUUCUAGAUAUAUCAGGAUGUUGUUU